CCUAUAGAACGCAGAAACUCAAACUUGGGUAAGAGUGUCUUUUCUGGUUUCGCUAGAAGCACCUGGGGUCGACUCCUAACAAUUUUGCAGAUUUGGGAAUUGGUGAAUCCAUGUUCCCUGAGAAGCUUAAGCACUGAGUCUGGUCUUUCAGAGGUUUCAAAACAUAUCUUCUUAGAGACGGAUUGAGCAGAUUUUGUGGUCAAUCCACAUGAAUUUAUGAGAUAUGAGACUGUGAAUGACUGUUCAUUCAAAUUAGAAGAUAUGGUAGAGACGAAAAGCAUCUGAUUAUGAAAAAUAAGCGAAAAGGAAGAAUACCCAGUUGGGUAUUUGAGACCAACA
rnacentral:misc_RNA from 1 species